rnacentral:lncRNA from 1 species
AAGUCAAGCCAGACACAGAUUCAAUACUCUACUGGAAUUGAAGUUGCAGAUUUUGGGGGUUUUUUUGAUAUCUUCUUUCUCACCAACAAAUGAAGUUCCCACAAAUUCCACAUUUAUAGAUGUGCCCUUUUUACCUAGAUAUUAAUGUGAAGGGAAUAAAGAUGACAAUGAUUGAUGUAAGGAAAGCAGAUGAGGGAUAAAUAACAGAUGUUUGUAACAAGUAAGCUUUUCAGAUGUUCAAUUUCUUCUACUGAAUGAUUUCUUUAUAUUGUGGUUGGACUUAGAUAUUGAAG